UCGACAGAAAUAACUUUGUGA
rnacentral:piRNA from 1 species